rnacentral:rRNA from 1 species
UACGUAGGCAGCAAGCGUUGUUCGGAGUUACUGGGCGUAAAGGGUGCGUAGGUGGCUCUAUAAGUAUGGUGUGAAAUCUCCCGGCUUAACUGGGAGGGUGCGCCGUAGACUGUGGGGCUAGAGUGUGGGAGAGGAAAGUGGAAUUCCUGGUGUAGCGGUGAAGUGCGUAGAUAUCAGGAGGAACACCGGUGGUGUAAACGGCUUUCUGGACCAUAACUGACACUGAGGCACGAAAGCGUGGGUAGCAAACAGG